UACGGGGGGGGCAAGCGUUGUUCGGAAUUACUGGGCGUAAAGGGCUCGUAGGCGGCCAACUCAGUCGGACGUGAAAUCCCUCGGCUUAACCGGGGAACGGCGUCCGAUACUGGAUGGCUUGAAUCCGAGAGAGGGAUGCGGAAUUCCAGGUGUAGCGGUGAAAUGCGUAGAUAUCUGGAGGAACACCGGUGGCGAAGGCGGCAUCCUGGAUUGGUAUUGACGCUGAGGAGCGAAAGCCAGGGGAGCAAACGGG
rnacentral:rRNA from 1 species